UCAAAUAAACCUACCAUUAAAAUUAUAGACUGAUCAUUUCUUUGUCAGUGGGCAAACGUACAAAAUCAGCAGGGGAUCAAAUACUUUUUUCCCUCGCUGUAAUUGUGAAAUGUACUUGCAUUCCUUUGUUACCGUUACAUUUUGUCAAAGUAUUUUUUCAUGCUGAUUGUAGUCUGUGUGUGUAUGCGGUUGGCCUUUGGAUAGUGGUUCCUCCAUAAAAAAUGUGGCACGCUUUUGAAUGCAAAAUAUUCCAAGUAAAAAUGUAAAGGGCUCUGCUGUACAGUAUUUCAUGGUGUGUACCGUAAUGGAUUCUCACCAACACAAAGAGCACCAAUAUUUUCCAGAACACUACGAUUUUUGGUGAUGAAAUUUGAGGUUUCCAGCUACAUGUAGCACUCAGGCUAAUAUUUAUGGAGCUCAAUUGAAAACAGCAGGAUUUGACUGACCUUUCUCACCUCAACUGCCAUUUGCUUCUGUACACCUCUAUAGGACAGGUCUUUGCCUGAAGCGUGUUCUUCAACAAGGAUGCCAGGGGAGUGAAUUGAAAUUUGAACACUUGAUUGGUGAUAAUACUAAUGCAUUUAUGUCCUAUACAGCCAAUGUAAAUCAAAUGUUAAAUUGAGUUGAACCUAUUGUUUUGGCUGGCCUCCAACAUGUGCAACUGACCUACAAAGGUAUAUACAGAAAUACUUGUUUUAUUCCUCUUUUGGCAGAACAAUGUUUCAGUAUUUUGAGAAACAUAAUCGAAAUGUACUUGGUAACUUAAAAGGUAUAUUUUGGAUGUUGACAAAAUUAAGAUUAUUUAGAAAAAUGGAAAAGGGCAAUGAAUAAAUGCGUCACAUAAAAAGAGAGCGGUUACAUUUCACUUAUGUUAAAGAAUGAUAAGAAUUAGUUUGAAGGAGUGGGCAUGGUUUUUAGUGUGUAUGUUGUUUGUAUGAAUGCUACAUUUCCUGUGGUCUACAUUCAGAGUUAAUUAAACCAGGCAUGUAACAAUGUAGUGUCACAUCAUGCUAUCUUUUGCAGCACUACUAAGUUUUAAAAACAUGCAGCAACAUCUCAAAUUGGUCUCAUAAAUUGAGGCAAGUACAAAAUCUUGUGAUAUUUAAUAUAAUUGUUCCAGGAAUGUGCAUAAAUAGAACACAUAACAUAAUAAUCUUGUUUGUGCAAUCGUAAAAUGCUGUGGACAUAAGUUUGAACCGUAAAUAAAUGGAUGACAUAUCUGUUAUUAUCAGGCAGAUGCAACACAAGAGUUGUAAAUCUGCCAUUAAAUAACAUUUUACAUCCAAGGACAUGGCUUUGAACUCCUGCUAGAGUUACACUAUAACAUUUGUAAUCUUCAGUGCAUUGGUAAGAUCCUAUAGGUGUUAUAUAAAUGAUAAACGGGAUGUGUUGAUUCUACGUUAUUUUAACUGUAAAAUGUACGUCAAUUGGCUUCUACUUCCUCAGUGAUUCUGUGGGGGGUGGGGUGGGGAACUGGACUCUAUUGUUUACCCUAAAUCUGCCGAAUGGGGGGGCAAUAGCCCCUCUGUCCUCCCCCACGAGGCACUGGCUGUGAUGCCUACCCAUGCAAAGAGCAGAUGGAGCUUCUGUGAUCUUGUUGGCCCACUGAAGCUCGUGCCUGCCACUUGGCAUCAGCGGCCGGUGUUUGAUGAUCGCUUUGCAUAUCUUGAAACGUAUGGUGCACUCACACGUCACAAACUAGUUUAACAAAUUAAGGAUGGUCUUGAUGCCUGCCGUUGGACUACAUAGACUGCUGAAUUACGCUUUCCUUCUCCGUUAAAGUUUGUGCAUCUCACCUUGGCAGUUGAAACAGCAUAUCACACAUAUUUGAUUAAUUAGCAACACUUUGUGGGAAGUCAACAGUUGUUAUUAGGAUAGGCUGAUCCCUACCAUAGGUAUGUGGAAUUUUCAUCAAGGACUCACUCAGGAUGAAAAUGGGAAUAAUAGUUGCUCCAUUGCUCUUUUCUAUAUAUGUAGCCUUUGCUUAAGGCUUAGAACUGCUUUUUGUGUUUAGUUUGUUGUUCUCCCUCCGAUUAGCGCGGUUGGCUACGUAUGGUGCAAAAGAAGGUCAACAUACAUAUGUAGUGAUGUAAAUGGUGUCACUAGGAUGUUCGUGCCAGCUACUGUUACAGUAGUGCAACUGUGCGUCUGGAGCCUCUCUCUAGCACCAGAGCAAGUACGGCAUGUCAGUCAGCCCUAGGGGGCAUAGUCCUGGUGCUGGCCUGAGAUAGGGCACGUGAGGAUGUGGUAGCCUGAGUGAAACCCGAGAGGGCACGUGAUUCUCGGUCGAGAUCAUAUGGGAAAGGUCUCGAAGGGGGCGUGGCCGAAGGCGGAGCCAGCCCACGCUCAGGAGCAUCGAGGGGCAGUCCCGAGAGAGCUCUUGACUCGUCGGUGGAAUCAAGCCUGGGUCCCGCGUCUCGUCGUCUCCGAGUUUUCGUCUUAGAGUUAACUCGCUACUCACAUAGUUAGCCAUAUCACCUACUAUAGAACCCGAGUUACGUUCAGUGUUACCCGCUAGGGAAGUUGUUAAAUAAAAGUGUUGCCUCCCAGUCCAGAGUGUGUGUGUGUGCCUCCAUGUUGAACACUACAACUGGAGUCAGAAGUGGUAAAUAGUUAGGAAAUAGGCUAGGAUAGCGAUGUUAACUAGAAGAAAAAUACGUACGAAGACGUCUACGAUGGAGGAGGACGGCGAGGGGAGAUUCUCCAGACGGCCCCGGGGGGUUGCAGCCCGGUUACCCACUGCAUGGUGGCUUACAGUGGGUGGGAAGCUACGUCUCCACUGCCGCUGCCACCGGGGUAAGAGCUCCGCACGUGCAGCGCAGCCCCACCGACUUUUUAAAAAAAUUUGUUCGCGGCAGCUGCACUGCUAGCCGAGCUCCGUGCUGGAAGAGCCGCUGCUGUUGCCCGUGUGCGCGGGAAACCCAAGAAACGUGGCGCGAGCGGCCGCCAUUCGCCGCCGGGCGGGACGGGGUUCCCGCCAAAAUCGCAGUUCCCGCCAAAAAUCGCACUUCCGGCCAAAAACGCGAUUCCCGCCAAAAUCACGCUUCCGGCCAAAAACGCGAUUCACGCAAAAAAAUCGACGCCUGCAGAGGGCGAGCUCCACUCGGCCCAGAAGCGCCCCGUCGUCGGCUCUGAGUGUGGCUUGCCGGCUCAAGUCGCAAGAGGAUGCCGCGCUGAAUACAGCAAGACUUUCUGCGACGCCGUCGUCUUGCACCCUGCCGUCUUCCGCUCCUCUGGGUCCACAGGAUCCCAGCACCUGGUAACCUUGGAGUCGCCGGUUGCGCCGACUGGACAUGAAUUGGGGAGAGUGGAGCAGCCAUCGCCCAUUCCUGCUUCUCCCAUUUGUUAUUCUUCCCGGGAGAGGCCGCACCCAUUGGACCUUCUUCAAGUCCGCCCGUUGAAAUGACCCUUCCCCACCGUCUUAUUUAUCCCUACGCCGUUGGAGAUCGCACACACGAUUACACACACACGCGAGCCGGAUUGUGCUGCCGGUUGGACUUGGUCCUUCAUGUGCUUGUGGGUUGUGGCAUGCUUACGGGUGUUGGGUGGUGUACAUUGUCUGGGAGUUGUGUUGGUCAUGUGUUCAGAAAUAUUUUUUUGGGGGGCUCCUCCAUUUAUGUACAUAUUGUCUGGGUGACAGUUGCUGCUUGCUUUAUUGUUGUUGGGUUUUUGGUUAUUGUUACACAGAAAAUUUUAGGAGGCUUAUUUUUUGCUGUUGGUUGUUGCUGUUGUUAUUAAGGGUAUAGUGAUCAGCCGGGACGGCUGUGUUUUAGAAAGGGGGGGGGGGGGUGAUGUAGUGAAGUAAAUGGUGUCACUAGGGUGUUUGGGCCAGCUACUGUUACAGUGGUGCAACUGUGCGUCUGGAGCCUCUCUCUAGCACCAGAGUAAGUACGGCAUGUCAGCCAGCCGUAGGGGGCAUAGCCCUGGUGCUGGCCUGAGAGAGGGCAAGUGAGGAUGUGGUAGCCUGAGUAAACCCGAGAGGGAUCGUGAUUCUCGGUCGAGAUCCUAUGGGAAAGGUCUCGAAGGGGGCGUGGCUGAAAGUGGAGCAAGGCCACGCUCAGGAGCAUGAAGGGGCAGUCCCGAGAGAGUUCUUGGCUCAUCGGUGGAAUCAAGCCUAGGUCCCGCGUCUCGUCGUCUCCCGGUCUUUGUCUAGAGUUAACUCGCUACUCACAUCGUUAGCCAUAUCACCUCCUGAACCCGAGUUACGUUCAGUGUUACCCGCUAGGGAAGUUGUUAAAUAAAAGUGUUGCCUCCCAA